CCCCGCGCCCCCGCCGUGCGCCGGUUGCCCGAGCGACCGUGCCGGUGCCCGCUGCCUACACCGAGAAUGCCGGUGGCCACUCCGGUGGCCGAGGAACUGCGACCUGCUGUGUCCCGCCGGUGGUCGCCCCCCGCUGCCCGCACGAACUCCGGUGACCGGCAGCGGAAUCUCGGCACCUCCAUCUCGAAGAGUUUUGCUGCGGUUCUUCAUCGUCCCGUGCAGUCCCUCCUCUUCGCCGGCGUCAAUGGCUACCGCCUCCUCGAAUGGUUGGUUCUUCCAAUACGUGCCCGGCUGCCCGCUCACCUGCCCCACAUUUCCUUUCCUCUCCGCUCCUACUGUUUGGGUGCUGUAAUCUGAUUCCGGACAGGACUAACAACCUGCUCGAUGUGUGCUUUUUUUUAUUCUCCUACUAGACGACAGAUUGCCAUUCACGCAAUAGAAGCGGCAAGGGUUAGCUUGGACCAAUGAGGAGAACAACAGGAUCCUGGUUUCAAUUUCAUCAUGUGCUAAAAUGAUUUACAUUUCUAGGAUUGUGCAUGGUGCUGAUGGUGGCACAUGUGCUUCUGCAGACCUGCUGAAGGAGAUAGAUGACUUCAUGGUCCUAGGCAUCACUUUUGUGGAAUCGGUUAAUACGAUGAAUUUGAUAUGAAAUUGGUAUGCUAUUUUUAAAUUUUUCUAUUACAUAUUUUCGUAUAAAGAUGUGCAUGUCUGCUGUAAUCCUAAAGUUGGUAAUAAACAAACAUUAAAUAUUAAAUAAUUAUAUUUGUCUGAUUCUUUGGUCUUAAUUUAUUUUCAGAGUUAUCCUACAUAUGUUGAUCUGUUUAAGUUGUAUGGAUAACCUUGGUUCAUAGCCUAUCUAUAUAGUCGUUCAUAGGAUGUCAGAUUUAAAUAACUUGUUUCCGUGAACUGCCAAUGUAUUUUCAAAUUAUUGCAGCUAUAUGAGGUUUCUGAAAGCUGACAUGAAAGCAAUGGAUCUUAAUGGUAGUGGAAAACUGAAAGACAAUAACAAGGCACAACCAGUUCUCAUAACAAAAAAACAAUGUGAUUCUGUUUCCUUGCUGCCUCUUUCCACGACUCACUUGUGAGGGAGAGCCACCUCAGGGACACCUUCGUGAGCGACGAGAAAAUGACUGCUAAGAUAGAUGUGGAGGCGGCUAAUAGUCACAAAGUCGAUGAGGAGCUUCAGAGAGGUACUUCUCAUGUGUUUGUUACUAGCUGUGUAAAAGUGUAUUCUCAUGUGUUUGUUACUAGAGUCUGGAGGCAAGCCGUGCUGAAAAUUGAAUCAGACAAGGAGGAGCACUCGGUGGAGAAGGCAAGCCGUGGCAAUACUACUGUCGACUACUACUAAACUCUCUAAAUUUUACAAAAAGCCAUUGCAUAUGGUUAUACUAGACGAGUGAGUGUUAUUGUUUAGGUACUUGCAUGCUAACUGAAGACUGUGUGGAGAGUGAGAGUUAUAGUGUGUAUCAUUUUUUUGGCCAUAUAGAUUUUUUAUUCAAUGA